UAGGGAAUCUUCCACAAUGGACGAAAGUCUGAUGGAGCAACGCCGCGUGAGUGAAGAAGGGUUUCGGCUCGUAAAACUCUGUUGUUAAAGAAGAACACGUAUGAGAGUAACUGUUCAUACGUUGACGGUAUUUAACCAGAAAGUCACGGCUAACUACGUGCCUG
rnacentral:rRNA from 1 species